rnacentral:rRNA from 1 species
GACGAACGCUGGCGGCGUGCUUAACACAUGCAAGUCGAACGGAGUGGCGAACGGGUGAGUAACACGUGGGUGAUCUGCCUUGCACUUCGGGAUAAGCUUGGGAAACUGGGUCCAAUACCGGAUAGUGCAAGAUGAGCUCGCGGCCUAUCAGCUUGUUGGUGGGGUAAUGGCCUACCAAGGCGUCGACGGGUAGACGGCCUGAGAGGGUGUACGGCCACAUUGGGCGUGAGAUACGGCCCAGACGCGUACGGGAGGCAGCAGUCGGGAAUAUUGCACAAUAGGGGGCAGCCUGAUGCAGCGACGCCGGGUGGGGGAUGAAGUCUUUCGGGUUGUAAACUCCUUUCGACAGAGACGCGGUACCUGUAUAGGAAGCACCGGCUAACUACGUGCCAGCAGCCGCGGUAAUUC